AACGAACGCUGGCGGCAUGCCUAACACAUGCAAGUCGAACGAGACCUUCGGGUCUAGUGGCGCACGGGUGCGUAACGCGUGGGAACCUGCCCUUAGGUUCGGAAUAACUCCCCGAAAGGGGUGCUAAUACCGGAUAAUGUCUUCGGACCAAAGAUUUAUCGCCUUUGGAUGGGCCCGCGUUGGAUUAGCUAGUUGGUAGGAUAAAAGCCUACCAAGGCGACGAUCCAUAGCUGGUCUGAGAGGAUGAUCAGCCACACUGGGACUGAGACACGGCCCAGACUCCUACGGGAGGCAGCAGUGGGGAAUAUUGGACAAUGGGCGAAAGCCUGAUCCAGCAAUGCCGCGUGAGUGAUGAAGGCCUUAGGGUUGUAAAGCUCUUUUACCCGGGAUGAUAAUGACAGUACCGGGAGAAUAAGCUCCGGCUAACUCCGUG
rnacentral:rRNA from 1 species